GGUCCCACGCAUCAGCCUUCUGUUCGGCAGCCGUUCCUCCCAGUGUCCUUCCAGCCACGCUCUGUUUGACCUAGGCUGCUUCUGGGAUUGGUGGUUUUGGAGGUUCUAGUGCCCCAGGGAAGAAUACCUCUAAGAUGGGACAGUAAUGAUUCCAUCAAAUUGAAAAUUGGGACCAACUGGCUUCUCAUGCUGCUGAAUCAACAGACAAAUCUCUCUUCCUCGACUUCCUGGAUUAUUGACCUGACAUCUGUCAAUCAACCCCAAUCCAUCGUGCCACUGGAAGUCCUGCUGACAGACAGAUCGGUGGUGUGUCAACAGACCCAUUUGUCAAAUGGAAAUUGGAAGAAACCUAAAGCAACACAGUAGAUGAUGGAAAACGAAGUCAUUUAUUCCAGAUAUAGCUCAUUCCCAGUAGGUCUCUGCUAUGGCAUUUCCUCUUCAUACUGUAUUUUUUUUUUUCCAGCUCAAGGUCAAAUUCAAAAAUGUGCAUGCUGACA